GCCUACCAUGGUGGUAACGGGUAACGGGGUGUUAGGGCACGACACCGGAGAGGGAGCCUGAGAAACGGCUACCACAUCCAAGGAUGGCAGCAGGCGCGCAAAUUACCCAAUCCCGACACGGGGAGGUAGUGACAAUAAAUAACAAUACGGGGUUCUAAAGGAUUUCGUAAUUGGAAUGAGUACAAUUUAAAUCUCUUAACGAGGAACAAUUGGAGGGCAAGUCUGGUGCCAGCAGCCGCGGUAAUUCCAGCUCCAAUAGCGUAUAUUAAAGUUGUUGCAGUUAAAAAGCUCGUAGUUGAACUUCAGGCCUGGCUGGACGGUCCGCCCUUCGGGUGAGUACUGUCUGUGGUCGGGUCCUACCUUCUGGCGAAGCGUCAUGGCCUUAACCGGCCGUGGCGGGGAACCAGGACUUUUACUGUGAAAAAAUUAGAGUGUUCAAAGCAGGCAAUCGCUUGGAUACAUUAGCAUGGAAUAAUGGAAUAGGACAAUGGUUCUAUUUGUUGGUUUCUAGGACCGUUGUAAUGAUUAAUAGGGAUAGUUGGGGGCAUUAGUAUUCAAUUGUCAGAGGUGAAAUUCUUGGAUUUAUUGAAGACUAACUACUGCGAAAGCAUUUGCCAAGGAUGUUUUCAUUAAUCAAGAACGAAAGUUAGGGGAUCGAAGACGAUCAGAUACCGUCGUA
rnacentral:rRNA from 1 species